CCUACGGGCGGCAGCAGUGGGGGCUAUUGCACAAUGGGGGAAACCCUGAUGCAGCGACGCCGCGUGAGUGAAGAAGUAUUUCGGUAUGUAAAGCUCUAUCAGCAGGGAAGAAAAUGACAGUACCUGACCAAGAAGCCCCGGCUAACUACGUGCCAGCAGCCGCGGUAAUACGUAGGAGGCAAGCGUUAUCCGGAAUGACUGGGCGGAAAGGGUGCGUAGGUGGUUUGGCAAGUUGGUAGCGUAAUCCCGGGGCUCAACCUCGGUGCUACUACCAAAACUGUUGAACUUGAGUGCAGGAGGGGUGAAUGGAAUUCCCAGUGUAGCGGUGGAAUGCGUAGAUAUUGGGAAGAACACCAGUGGCGAAGGCGAUUCACUGGACUGUAACUGACACUGAGGCACGAAAGCGUGGGGAGCAAACAGGAUUAGAUACCCUAGUAGUC
rnacentral:rRNA from 1 species